AUUGAACGCUAGCUACAUGCUUUACACAUGCAAGUCGAACGGCAGCGCGAGCUACGGCCUGGCGUCGAGUGGCGAACGGGGGCGUAAUGCAUCGGAACGCGCACAGUAGUGGGGGAUCACCCGGCGAUAACCGGAUUAAUACCACACAAAACCUGAGGGUCAUAGCGGGGGACCGAAAGACCUCGCGCUAUGGGAUCUGGCGAUGGCGGAUGAGCUCGUCUGUGGGGUAAGGUCUUGCCGAGGCGACGAUCCGUAGCUGGGCUGAGAGGAGGACCAGCCACACUGGGACUGAGCCACGGCCCAGACUCCUACGGUAGGCAGCAGUGGGGAAUGUUGGACAAUGGGGGCAACCCGGAUCCAGCCCUGCCGAGUGCGGGAAGAAGUCCUUCGGGUUUUAAACCGCUUUUGUUCGGGAAGAAAUCCUCUGGGCUAAUACCCCGGGGUGAUGACGGUACCGGAAGAAUAAGCACCGGCUAACUACGUG
rnacentral:rRNA from 1 species